rnacentral:rRNA from 1 species
GGAUUAGAUACCCUGGUAGUCCACGCCGUAAACGAUGUCUACUUGGAGGUUGUGGCCUUGAGCCGUGGCUUUCGGAGCUAACGCGUUAAGUAGACCGCCUGGGGAGUACGGUCGCAAGAUUAAAACUCAAAUGAAUUGACGGGGGCCCGCACAAGCGGUGGAGCAUGUGGUUUAAUUCGAUGCAACGCGAAGAACCUUACCUACACUUGACAUGCCGAGAAUUUACCAGAGAUGGUUUAGUGCCUUCGGGAACUCGGACACAGGUGCUGCAUGGCUGUCGUCAGCUCGUGCCG